rnacentral:rRNA from 1 species
UACGAAGGGUGCAAGCGUUACUCGGAAUUACUGGGCGUAAAGCGUGCGUAGGUGGUGAGUUAAGUCUGUCGUGAAAGCCCCGGGCUCAACCUGGGAAUGGCGAUGGAUACUGGCUCGCUAGAGUGCGGUAGAGGAGAGUGGAAUUCCUGGUGUAGCGGUGAAAUGCGCAGAUAUCAGGAAGAACACCCGUGGCUAAGGCGGCUCUCUAGUACGGUACUGACGCUGAGACGCGAAAGCGUGGGGAGCGAACAGG